GACGAACGCUGGCGGCGUGCCUAAUACAUGCCAGUCGAGCGAAGUUUUUCUGGUGCUUGCACUAGAAAAACUUAGCGGCGAACGGGUGAGUAACACGUAAAGAACCUGCCUCAUAGACUGGGACAACUAUUGGAAACGAUAGCUAAUACCGGAUAACAGCAUUAACUGCAUGGUUGAUGUUUAAAAGUUGGUUUUGCUAACACUAUGAGAUGGCUUUGCGGUGCAUUAGCUAGUUGGUGGGGUAAAGGCCUACCAAGGCGACGAUGCAUAGCCGACCUGAGAGGGUGAUCGGCCACACUGGGACUGAGACACGGCCCAGACUCCUACGGGAGGCAGCAGUAGGGAAUCUUCCGCAAUGGGCGAAAGCCUGACGGAGCAACGCCGCGUGAGUGAAGAAGGAUUUCGGUUCGUAAAGCUCUGUUGUUAGGGAAGAAUGAUUGUGUAGUAACUAUACACAGUAGAGACGGUACCUAACCAGAAAGCCACGGCUAACUACGUG
rnacentral:rRNA from 1 species